rnacentral:rRNA from 1 species
UGGGGAAUUUUGGACAAUGGGCGCAAGCCUGAUCCAGCAAUGCCGCGUGCAGGAUGAAGGCCUUCGGGUUGUAAACUGCUUUUGUACGGAACGAAACGGCUCUGGUUAAUACCUGGGGCUAAUGACGGUACCGUAAGAAUAAGCACCGGCUAACUACGUUCCAGCAGCCGCGGUAAUACGUAGGGUGCGAGCGCUAAUCGGAAUUACUGGGCGUAAAGCGUGCGCAGGCUGUGAUGUAAGACAGAUGUGAAAUCCCCGGGCUCAACCUGGGACCUGCAUUUAUGAGUGCAUCGCUGGAGUGCGGCAGAGGGGGAUGGAAUUCCGCGUGUAGCGGUGAGAGGCGUAGAUAUGCGGAGGAACACCGAUGGCGAAGGCAAUCCCCUGGGCCUGCACUGACGCUCAUGCAAGAAAGCGUGGGGAGAAAGCA